AGGAUUUCAUUUCCGGGUGGCGCGGGCGCCAUUUUGUGAGGAGCGAUAUAAACGGGCGCUGGGGCCGGCCACCCGCUCAGUUGUUGCUCAGGUGCGCUCGCUGGCGGAGCUUGUCUGCCCUGUUUUCCUGCAAGGCCUUUCCCAGCGUCCCCACGCGGAAAGCAACUGCCUAAGAGGCGCGGCGUCGCACCGCCCAGAGCUGAGGAAGUCGGCGCCAGUUCGUGGGGCUCCGGGCCGCCAGUCAGAGCCAUGAGCUACGGUCGCCCCCCUCCCGAUGUGGAGGGUAUGACCUCCCUCAAGGUGGACAACCUGACCUACCGCACCUCGCCCGACACGCUGAGGCGCGUCUUCGAGAAGUACGGGCGCGUUGGCGACGUGUACAUCCCGCGGGACCGCUACACCAAGGAGUCCCGCGGCUUCGCCUUCGUCCGCUUCCACGACAAGCGGGACGCCGAGGACGCUAUGGAUGCCAUGGACGGAGCCGUGCUGGACGGCCGCGAGCUGCGGGUGCAAAUGGCGCGCUACGGCCGCCCCCCGGACUCACACCACAGCCGCCGGGGACCGCCACCCCGCAGGUAUGGGGGCGGUGGCUACGGACGCCGGAGCCGCAGCCCUAGGCGGCGUCGCCGCAGCCGAUCCCGGAGUCGGAGCCGUUCCAGGUCCCGCAGCCGAUCUCGCUACAGCCGCUCGAAGUCUCGGUCCCGCACUCGCUCUCGCUCUCGGUCGACCUCCAAGUCCAGAUCCGCGCGAAGGUCCAAGUCCAAGUCCUCCUCGGUCUCCAGAUCUCGCUCGCGGUCCAGGUCCCGAUCUCGGUCCAGGAGUCCUCCGCCGGUGUCCAAGAGGGAAUCCAAAUCCAGGUCGCGAUCGAAGAGUCCUCCUAAGAGUCCUGAAGAGGAAGGAGCGGUGUCCUCUUAAGAAAAUGCUGCGGUCUCCUGUUUGAUAAAAGAAUAUUGGCCAGUAUUGCAGAUUUUAACUGAUUUGGCUGAUCCUCCAGGGACCAGUUUCUGUGGGCGUGUAUUGGAGCAGAUGUAUCGGCAAGCAGUGUAAACGGAGGACUUGGGGAAAAAGGACCACAUACUCAGUCCAUCGAAGAAGAGUCCUUGGAACAAGCAACUGGCUAUUGAAAAGGCGCAGUUGUGUAGCAGUUGAGUAAUGCUGGUUAGCUGUUAAGGUGGCGUGUUGCAGUGCAGAGUGCUUGGCUGUUUCCUGUUUUCUCCCGAUUGCUCCUGUGUAAAGAUGCCUUGUCGUGCAGAAACAAAUGGCUGUCCAGUUUAUUAAAAUGCCUGACAACUGCACUUCCAGUCACCCGGGCCUUGCAUAUAAAUAACGGAGCAUACAGUGAGCACAUCUAGCUGAUGAUAAAUACACCUUUUUUCCCUCUUACCCCUAAAAAUGGUAAAUCUGAUCAUAUCUACAUGUAUGAACUUAACAUGGAAAAUGUUAAGGAAGCAAAUGGUUGUAACUUUGUAAGUACUUAUAACAUGGUGUAUCUUUUUGCUGAUGAAUAUUCUGUAUUAUAACCAUUGUUUCUGUAGUUUAAUUAAAACAUUUUCUUGGUGUUAGCUUUUCUCAGAAUAUGUCCUGGUCUUUUCUUCCCCCAUUUAUUUGAAGGAACUAUGCAAUUUUGUGAUUGUUGCUGACUGCAUAGUAUGGAAGUGGACUGUUUAGUGCCUAUCAUUUCCUAAGUUAAAGUGGAAAUGCCAGUUGAACACCUAAAAGCAAUGCUUUAAUGUGGCACUUUUCUUGAGGUUGUGAUACCUCCUUCUCAACCUAAUUUAUAUCCUAUUUAAUGACAAAGGAACAAUCCAAGUACUUGUAAUAUGUAUUUUAAUUUUUGUUUCAUAUGAGUUAAAGUGUUGUCUAGGUGACAUCAAAAUCUGAUGCAAACAGACUUGACCAUCUUCAGACCCACUGCAUUCUCAAGCUGAAGUGGUCUGCUCAUAGUUUGUGUGCCAGGUUGCUCAACAGUACUGAUAUUGUCCCAGAACAGGUUGUAGGUGUAAUUCAGAGACUGUCCUUUGCAAAGGAAAUGACCAGCAUUUCAACUGUAUGUCUUCCUGGAAGGGCAGAUUCUGCUAUAUCUUCUUUGUCUGCAUCAAAAGAUUCCAGAGGAAUAUGGACACAUUUCAUAUCCCAUUUGUAGAGUAAAGCUUCAAGUGACCAGUCAGCACUUAAAAAAAAAAAAUAAAUGGUUUUUUUUAAAGUCA